AAUAUUGGACAAUGGGGGCAACCCUGAUCCAGCCAUGCUGCGUGUGUGAAGAAGGUCUUUGUACUGUAAAGUACUUUAAGUUGGGAGGAAGGGCUUUAGGCUAUUACCCUGAAGUUUUGACGUUACGAGCAGAACAACCACCGGCUCACUUUGUUCCAGCAGCCGCGGUAAUACAGAGGGAUCAAGCGUUAAUCGGCAUUACUGGGCGUAAAGCGCGCGUAGGUGGUUCAGUAAGAUGGGUGGAAAAUCCCCGGGCUUAACCUGGGAACUGCUUUCAUAACUGCUGAGCGAGAGUACGGUAGAGGGUAGUGGAAUUUCCUGUGUAGCGGUGAAAUGCGUAGAUAUAGGAAGGAACACCAGUGGCGAAGGCGACUACCUGGACUGAUACUGACACUGAGGUGCGAAAGCGUGGGGAGCAAACA
rnacentral:rRNA from 1 species